GCAUGCCUACAACAUAGUGUUAAUGCACCGGAUCCCAUUAGAACUCCGCAGUUAAGUGCGCUUGGGCUAGAGUAGUACUGGGAUCGAUGAUUGUUCAAGAAGUCCUAGUAUUUUACAUGCC
rnacentral:rRNA from 1 species